UGGACAUGGGGACAUAACGGCAGGUUCGGACAGUUCAUGCUCUUGGGUUGCAUUACCAAGAGUGAAUGAUUCAUGAGUUUGACUGUUUGUUAAAGUCAGGACGUUUCAGCUUCACAGAUUCAUUCGCGUCAGUACGGGACUAACCUGCUCCAGUACCUCAUCGUUAUAAAUACUCAUCGAUCUUUGAGCACAGAUGUUCAUUUUUAUUCACAUGGGUUUACUAUAGGUUACUUUAGGCCGUACAUAUUUUGGCAGGUGAAUAACAGGUGGCAGCAUCAGGUGAAGUAGAGGCGGCUCAGCCUGUUGGCGCUCUCGAUGUUGAUGGAACAUGGCGACACGGCGAACGCCCACGCUGGCACUGAACCAACCCCGCACCCCGGGCUCCUCCCUCACGCGCCCGCUUAAGGCUGAGACGACUUACGGUCUUCAUUUUACAGGCUUUGCGUUUUGUACGUAUUUACUCUGCAGACCGGCCCCUGACAGCAUGUGUGACAGAGUCCAUGAACAUCUGUCCUGCCCACAGCAAUCUGUAAGUGCUCUGCUGUGGCUGCUGUGUAGUUUGUUUGAUUCAUCAUUACAUUGGACCUCAGGGUUCGUUAGAUUAACUUUUCUUUAAAGAGGGCCUUCACUGAAUAAAAAAAAAAAAAGAUGUCUCCCUUAUCUGACCAUUUUACCCAUUGGCAGCUGGGAGAACACGACUCGGGGUGGGAGGCAGCCUUCCGUCAAUUUGACAAUGUGGCUGUUGCAGAUGAGCCGUAUCUACAAGUGCCGGUGCUGUUUGCUUCUUCUUUUAUAUGCUGACAUUUGUCUUCUUGCUCUCCCUAAAAAUGUCAAGGAUUCUUAACACUGGUGAAACCUUCCAAAUGGCAACACCGAGGUGGCGUGUGGGGUAACUAAUACAGGCGGUUCUCACCACGGAGGAGCUUACAAACGAAGGGCAGUCAAGCAGAAAGGGAAGUGGUUGAAACACAAUGACACUGUGCUCGGUCAAAUAAGGAGUAAGCGGUAGCAUCCACUGUCCGCUAACCUCCCCUGGUGAUGAGCAAUCUGCUAACCUCCCCUGGUGAUGAGCAAUCUGCAGCCUUCCUGAGUACGGACUUGAAGACGGCCACACUGCCAUCCGCUCCCAGCUCGCUGUGAAGAAGGAUGCCACAAAACAAAACCACAAAAGACUCCUGGCCACCUUCUCACCUGAAGAGAGGCUACACAAGGGUGUGUGUAUCACCACAGGAUUGAAGGAGGUUGACUUCGAGAAAGUGAGACUGGACAAAGUCCUCUGGAGCGACGUGAAUACAGCGACAUCCUUUCGAUGGGACUUCAGGCACUUGAAGCAGCUUCCUGGAAUGGUUGCAAAGAAACCGUCCACGUGUUCGCUUCCUGCUUAACGUCGAUAGUGACAAACAACGUGGUUGUCAAUCUCCUAAAGCCUCGAGGACAAUACUGGAAACAAGCACCUCCUUACUGGCCACCUGAUUCAGAGUGUUGGACCUAUUAGAGAGAGCCUUGUAAUAGGUGCUAUAUUCCAUUUCAGGUGGAGGAAUAUUGGGGUGAAGACAGCAGGACUGAACGUUCCUUUCAGAAUUACAGUUGAAUAUGGACCCUGCUUUUAUAGAGAAGUUCUGCUUGUUCAGAGGAUCCUUUCCAUCUCAGCUGUAUUACACCUGGCACCAAGUGAAUGACCCAAAUCUGGAAGUCAGACCCCGAUUCUAAUCUACAGGUGGUGACACUAAUAUUUCCUCAGUGGUCACUAUACACGGUAACUCGCAGGUCGGACUGGAUUUUGAGAAAGAAGGAAGAUGCAUCCAUGCAUCCCUGCAUUGUGCUUUUUAAUUGUUCAGUUGAACGAUGAUAUCCAACCAAUUCAGUCGCUUUUAAAGGGCCAACGUGGUGCUUCAACCAGAGGCCAGAUCACAGUUAUGCACACUCACAACUAUCUACACGCACGAUGUGUCAUUUUAUUUCAUUUUGAUCUGUUUCCUGUGGUUGGAAUGAUACUCUUUAUUAUAGAAUGCGUUUUUUUGGUUUUAUUUCAUGUCUCUGUAUCGAGAUAAUUAACCUGCACUGGAAUAAAUGUAAUGUGUGAGUUUUCUUUUUGAGUUGACCAAAAUAAACCAUGAGGCCAAACCGCUUACUGGCCGUGUCAUUCACAG
ensembl:lncRNA